rnacentral:rRNA from 1 species
ACGGCUCAGUAACACGUGGAUAACCUGCCCUAAGGAAGGGGAUAACCCCGGGAAACUGGGGAUAAUACCCUAUAGGUUACAGAUGCUGGAAUGCCCUGUAACCCAAAGCUCCGGCGCCUUAGGAUGGAUCUGCGGCCGAUUAGGUUGUUGUUGGGGUAACGGCCCAACAAGCCAGUAAUCGGUACGGGUUGUGGGAGCAAGAGCCCGGAGUUGGAUUCUGAGACACGAAUCCAGGCCCUACGGGGCGCAGCAGGCGCGAAAACUUUACAAUGCGGGCAACCGUGAUAAGGGAACCUCGAGUGCCUGUACAUGCAGGCUGUUCGGGUGUCUAAAACACACCUGAAGAAAGGGCCGGGCAAGACCGGUGCCAGCCGCCGCGGUAAUACCGGCGGCUCGAGUGGUAACCGUUAUUAUUGGGUCUAAAGGGUCUGUAGCCGGCCGGAUAAGUCUCUUGAGAAAUCUGGCAGCUUAACUGUCAGGCUUUCAGGAGAUACUGUCUGGCUCGAGGCCGGGAGAGGUGAGAGGUACUUCAGGGGUAGGGGGGUGAAAUCUUGUAAUCCUUGAAGGACCACCAGUGGCGAAGGCGUCUCACCAGAACGGACCUGACGGCAAGGGACGAAAGCUAGGGGCACGAACCGGAUUAGAUACCCGGGUAGUCCUAGCCGUAAACGAUACUCGCUAGGUGUCGGCCACGGUGCGACCGUUGUCGGUGCCGUAGGGAAGCCGUGAAGCGAGCCACCUGGGGAAGUACGGCCGCAAGGCUGAAACUUAAAGGAAUUGGCGGGGG